GAAUUCAGGCAGGCCCUGGGACAGUUUGUCUCUGCUCCCCCCAGUGUUGGGGCCUCAGCUAGGAAGACUUUAAGGCUGGGAGAGAUUUGAUGCCUGGGAGAGACUCAAUCACUGUGUAACCGAACACUUGCUUCUUACAGAGUCCAAUUGACAAGGGUGAGGUAUAAUAGAAAGACAGAAUUUAUUAGCCAAAAAUAGUAAAGGGAAAGCAAUCGGAUUCCUAUCCAAAUUAACGGCUUCUAUUUUUAGGAAGAAGGCAGGGGUUUAAAAAGGGAAAACUUGAUAAGGAAGGCAGACAAGAACUGGGCUGAGUACAGUGUCUGUGUGUCUUAUUCUGGUGGCUAUCUUGGGUCCUGGUCCACCUGGACCCUGGGCUGAUGGCAUUUCAACAACAGCCAGGUUGUUAACUAGCUGUCUUGAAGUAAUCUCUGGAACUUUGCAGCUGGGUCUCCAGACUUGGUCUGUGUGUCUCAGGAUUGACCCCUGGAACUUCUAAGAAGACACAUAAUUAGAUACUAGUAGACAGUUGGAUAAAUGUGAAGGGAGUAUAUACAAUGAGAAAGGGAGGGAUGUGGACUCUAGAAAAGGUUUCUGCAGUUUGCUUCAAGGUUAUAUCUUUAAACCCAAGGAAAAGGGGAAAAAAUUUUUAAUGCAGUUUGAAGCUAAGCUGCCUGGUUACAACUGGGUACUAGGAUCAUCUGGAGGAAUCUUCACUCAGCUGUCUGGCAGGUGACACUGGGACUUCAUCUAGGCUGUUGGCCAAACACCUCUCCAUGUGGCCUUUGCUUCCUCACAGCACAGUGCCUGGGUCCCAAGAACGACCAUCCCAAGAGGACAAGACAGAACCAUAUCACCAUUUGUGAUUUGCUCUUGGAAGUCACAUGAUAUCACUUCCAUUGUAGUCACAGGCUCACCCAGAUUCAGAAUAAGGGGACACAGAACCUCUCAGUGGGAACCAUCUGUGGCACAUUGUAAGAGGAACAUGUGGGAUGAGAGAUGUUGAGGGUUCAUCAUCCUAAAACAUCACUUUAAUCCUGUCUUCCCAUUACUGACCAAAACAAAUUCUGGCAUUAAAGGCACUCUACACUUAGGCCUCAAAUGCCUUUCCUUACUUCCUGUAUUAUCUCCUCCAUUCAGAUCAGACCGAACUACUCAGUCACCCACACUUGUCAGACUCAUUCUUCUCUUGCCCUUUUUCUCAAGGAAUCCCUCUCUUGACCUGAGAAAUUCUACCUCUCACUUAAAAGUGACUGUUCACUGAAUUCC
rnacentral:lncRNA from 1 species